rnacentral:ncRNA from 2 species
AACGUGCUCCGGGGUCGGUGAGAAUCCGAACCGGCGGUGACAGUCCGCGAGCGUCCUGGUUUCGACCGCGAUGCCGAUCCGGUGGAAUUCCGGGACCGACGGUGAUGCGAGAGCGAUCUCGCUAGUCCGGAAGGGAGGCAGCACGAG